UUAACUCAAAUUUGUAUGCAGUUGGAACAGCGCCCCUAGCGGCAAACGUUCCAACUCCAUUCAAAUUUGUGUUA
rnacentral:pre_miRNA from 1 species